rnacentral:rRNA from 1 species
GACGAACGCUGGCGGCGUGCCUAACACAUGCAAGUCGAGCGAGAGGAGUUCCUUCGGGAACAAAUCUAGCGGCGGACGGGUGAGUAACACGUGGGCAACCUGCCUUGUAGAGGGGAAUAGCCUUCCGAAAGGAAGAUUAAUACCGCAUAACAUUACAUUUUCGCAUGAAGAAGUAAUUAAAGGAGCAAUCCGCUACAAGAUGGGCCCGCGGCGCAUUAGCUAGUUGGUGAGGUAACGGCUCACCAAGGCGACGAUGCGUAGCCGACCUGAGAGGGUGAUCGGCCACAUUGGGACUGAGACACGGCCCAG